UACGUAGGGGGCAAGCGUUGUCCGGAAUCAUUGGGCGUAAAGAGCUCGUAGGCGGCUUGUCGCGUCGACUGUGAAAUCCCGCGGCUCAACCGCGGGUCUGCAGUCGAUACGGGCAGGCUAGAGUUCGGUAGGGGAGACUGGAAUUCCUGGUGUAGCGGUGAAAUGCGCAGAUAUCAGGAGGAACACCGAUGGCGAAGGCAGGUCUCUGGGCCGAUACUGACGCUGAGGAGCGAAAGCGUGGGGAGCGAACAGG
rnacentral:rRNA from 1 species